rnacentral:rRNA from 1 species
UACGUAGGGGGCUAGCGUUGUCCGGAAUCAUUGGGCGUAAAGCGCGCGUAGGCGGCCCGGUAAGUCCGCUGUAAAAGUCAAAGGCUCAACCUUUGAAUGUCAGUGGAUACUGCCAGGCUAGAGUCCGGAAGAGGCGAGUGGAACUCCUGGUGUAGCGGUGGAAUGCGCAGAUAUCAGGAAGAACACCGACGGCGAAGGCAACUCGCUGGGACGGUACUGACGCUGAGGCGCGAAAGCGUGGGGAGCGAACAGG